AUUUGAUCCUAUCCACAAGGGUGGAGUACCUCGCCCAGGACCGCACAGCUAGACAAUGGCAAGCUGGGUGCUGGCUCUGGGUUCACAGGCAAUUUGGAGGCAGCUGCCUCUCUAAGGACCCGGGGUGUCACCAUUGUGCAGAGCCUGUUGAACUCAACGCAGGAAAGAUAUUUAUUUCACUUACAGUAAAGCAGGCCUUGCUAAGAAGACACAUUUAAUUCCACCACCAGCGUUUUUAUUGUGCACCUGCUGUGUACACGGCAACAAAGCUGUGGCAUGCAACAGGGCCCAGCAGUCUCUGCGAGUCCCCACCAGACCUUCCU
rnacentral:lncRNA from 1 species